CAUCGAUGUGAUGAUAUUUUUCCCCGGAUGCCAUGGCAAAUGUUGGUUCGGAAAAUCAGACUACAAUUAUCUGAUCGAUG